ACCGGCGCACGGGUGCGUAACGCGUAUACAAUCUGCCUCUUACUGCGGGAUAGCCCAGAGAAAUUUGGAUUAAUACCGCAUGGUAUCAUAUUGCGGCAUCGUAUUUAUGAUUAAAGGUUACGGUAAGAGAUGAGUAUGCGUCCUAUUAGCUUGUUGGUAAGGUAACGGCUUACCAAGGCGACGAUAGGUAGGGGCCCUGAGAGGGGGAUCCCCCACACUGGUACUGAGACACGGACCAGACUCCUACGGGAGGCAGCAGUGAGGAAUAUUGGACAAUGGGGGCAACCCUGAUCCAGCCAUGCCGCGUGCAGGAAGACUGCCCUAUGGGUUGUAAACUGCUUUUGUACGGGAAGAAACCUUGCCACGUGUGGCGAGCUGACGGUACCGUAAGAAUAAGGACCGGCUAACUCCGUGCCAGCAGCCGCGGUAAUACGGAGGGUCCGAGCGUUAUCCGGAAUCAUUGGGUUUAAAGGGUCCGUAGGCGGGCGGCUAAGUCAGUGGUGAAAGUCUGUGGCUCAACCAUAGAAUUGCCAUUGAUACUGGUCGUCUUGAAUUGGUGUGAAGUGGUUAGAAUAAGUAGUGUAGCGGUGAAAUGCAUAGAUAUUACUUAGAAUACCGAUUGCGAAGGCAGAUCACUAACACUAUAUUGACGCUGAGGGACGAAAGCGUGGGGAGCGAACAGGAUUAGAUACCCUGGUAGUCCACGCCGUAAACGAUGGAUACUAGCUGUUCGGACUUCGGUCUGAGUGGCUAAGCGAAAGUGAUAAGUAUCCCACCUGGGGAGUACGUUCGCAAGAAUGAAACUCAAAGGAAU
rnacentral:rRNA from 1 species